GGCUUGCUGGCGCAAUGGUAGCGCGUGGCCCUCCUAAGGCCAAGGUUGUGGGUUCGAGUCCCACGUAAGUCU
rnacentral:tRNA from 1 species